rnacentral:rRNA from 1 species
AGAGUUGAUCAUGGCUCAGGAUGAACGCUAGCGGCAGGCCUAAUACGAUGCAAGUCGUACGGGAGAUCCCUCGGGGAUGAGAGUGGCGCACGGGUGCGUAACGCGUAUGCAACCAACCCCGCACUGGGGGACAGCCGGUGGAAACGCCGGGUAAUACCCCAUGUCCAGCUUAGGGGCAUCCUUUUGGUUGGAAGGCAGCGAUGCGGUGCGGGACGGGCAUGCGUCCAUUAGCUAGUAGGCGGGGUGACGGCCCACCUAGGCGACGAUGGGUAGGGGAUCUGAGAGGACGGUCCCCACACUGGUACUGAGACACGGACCAGACUCCUACGGGAGGCAGCAGUAAGGAAUAUUGGGCAAUGGGCGGAAGCCUGACCCAGCCAUGCCCGCGUGAGGGAUGGAGGCCCUACGGGUCGUGAACCUCUUUUGUCCGGGGACAAAGCCGGUGUCGUGAACGCCGGUUGCGGGUACCGGGCGAAUAAGCAUCGGCUAACUCCGUGCCAGCCGCUGC